GCGCGAAAACUUUACAAUGCUGGCAACAGCGAUAAGGGAACCUCAAGUGCCAGGUUACAAAUCUGGCUGUCGAGAUGCCUAAAAAGCAUUUCAUAGCAAGGGCCGGGCAAGACCGGUGCCAGCCGCCGCGGUAACACCGGCGGCUCGAGUGGUAACCGUUAUUAUUGGGUCUAAAGGGUCUGUAGCCGGCCGGAUAAGUCUCUUGAGAAAUCUGGCAGCUUAACUGUCAGGCUUUCAGGAGAUACUGUCUGGCUCGAGGCCGGGAGAGGUGAGAGGUACUUCAGGGGUAGGGGUGAAAUCUUGUAAUCCUUGAGGGACCACCAGUGGCGAAGGCGUCUCACCAGAACGGACCUGACGGCAAGGGACAAAAGCUAGGGGCACGAACC
rnacentral:rRNA from 1 species